rnacentral:misc_RNA from 1 species
UACGUAGGUGGCAAGCGUUGUCCGGAAUUAUUGGGCGUAAAGCGCGCGCAGGCGGCCUCUUAAGUCUGAUGUGAAAGCCCCCGGCUCAACCGGGGAGGGCCAUUGGAAACUGGGAGGCUUGAGUAAUUAUGAAGUGGUUAGAAUAUGUAGUGUAGCGGUGAAAUGCGUAGAUAUGUGGAGGAACACCAGUGGCGAAGGCGACUCUCUGGUCUGUAACUGACGCUGAGGCGCGAAAGCGUGGGGAGCAAACAGG